GACGAACGCUGGCGGCGUGCUUAACACAUGCAAGUCGAGCGGUAAGGCCCUUUCGGGGUACGACGAGCGGCGAACGGGUGAGUAACACGUGGGUGACCUGCCCUCAGCUCUGGGAUAAGCCUGGGAAACCGGGUCUAAUACUGGAUAUGACUCCAUGACGCAUGUUGUGGGGUGGAAAGCCUUGUGCGGCUGAGGAUGGGCCCGCGGCCUAUCAGCUUGUUGGUGGGGUGANGGCCUACCAAGGCGACGACGGGUAGCCGGCCUGAGAGGGCGACCGGCCACACUGGGACUGAGACACGGCCCAGACUCCUACGGGAGGCAGCAGUGGGGAAUCUUGCG
rnacentral:rRNA from 1 species